CACCAGCGACGACUUUGAUCGUCUCGCCUCGUACUCGAACUUUGGAGUAAGGCUCGUCGACUUCUCGGGCCCGGGCGGUGACUUCGUGCUGCCGGGGGAUGCCCUGUGCACGUUGCCUCUGGUUAAUGCACCGCCACCGGGCACAAUCACCAGACCCUGCUGGGUCUUCGACAUGGUCAUCAGCCCGGGAAGCCUCGGUCCGAAUAACGGGAACUACUUUUUCGCGGCCGGCACCAGCAUGUCCGCGCCGGCUGUCGCUGGCGUCGCCGCGCUUGCGCUUGUUGCGAAGGGGCUGCACGGCGAUGAUCUGUUCGACCACCUGGUGAACACGGCAGAUGAUCUCGGCGCA
rnacentral:misc_RNA from 1 species